AAUAAAGUGAUCAAGCACUUUCUCUGACGUUUGAAAUAUUGGCGCCAUCUUAAACAAGGAUUUCAGUAAAGUCUAAUUCUCAGAUACUCUGAUGAAUUGUAACGACUGAUGACUAAGUUUUGUCGGAUAGAGGAGGAGGAGGGGGGCAGAAAACUUUGGUUGGAGCUUAAAAAUGGAGGUCAAACAGAGGAGGUCAAGGCAGUUACUUGGACAUACGGAGAAACCAACCUUAUCCUUACAAUACCACAUGCAGGGAAUAUAGGU